UAUGUGCAUUUUAUAUAGCAUUAAAAAUUAUACGUAUCUUAAAUAUGAGUUCAAUAAAAUAAGUAAAAUUAUGACAGCGGUGAUAAGUUAAGUGUAAUGUUCUUUUCGGAAAUCAUUACAAUUAUUUUGACUCCAAGACUCCAGCGACAAGUUUGUUGACCUACGUUGCCACGCCCACUCUAACGCCAAAAACUGUCAGUGUAGAAAUGUCUGCUUCGCACGGCCACUAGCUAAGUAACGGGUAUCAGAUAGUCGGAGAACUCGACUAUAGCAUUUUUCUUUUGUUGUUCUUUCGUUUUCUGAAUUGUGUUUUGUAGUAGUGAGUAACUAUAUUUCUAUUAGUCAUUGGUCAGAGUCUGUCAGCUCCAUAUUUUUGGUUAGUUUAAAUGGAUUUUCUAAUUUGACUUUAUCUAGUGGGCCUUUUUUGUAUCUAGUGUCGACUUCAUAUUCCGUUCUGCCGUUAUUUAUUUGGUUUAUUAUGUUUUCUAUUUGGAAACAACCAGCUCAGUGUCUGAUGGUCACUAGAUAUUUCAAAGUGUCUUCCAAGUAAGUAGUGUUGAAAAGUCUUUGUCGCCCAAACAAUUGCUAAGAGAUCCUUUUCAAUUGUGCUGUAGUUUGUUUCAUGUUCAUGUUCGAGUGUCCCUCUUGUGAGAGUACUGCACCUAAAGCAACAUCCCUUGCGUUGGCGGUUAAUGUAAUUUUUUUUUUUAAAGUCAGGUACUUUAAGAAUUGGAUCCUCUGAUAUUACUUAUUUUAAUUUUUUGAAUGGCGAGUCAUAUUCUGGGUAGCUGGUGUCAAUUUUUUGUUCUUUUUUAAACACUUUGUCAUGGGUCUGCAAAGUUUGGAAUGAACUUACGGUACUUUCCCGAGAAAAGCCUUUUUUUAGUUUAGUGGGAAUCGGAUAUCAGUUUUUCGAAAACUAGUCCAAGCGAUUGUAGGUUCUCUUCCAUGAAUGCCGAAAACACAAUUAUGACGCCCAAGUACAGGAGACAAUGCUAAUUUAAAAAAAAAGUCGCCAAAUAUGAUUCAUGCACCGUUGAAAGGUAGCUGGUGUGUUUUUAAUCCAAAUGGCAUACGCAAGUAAUCAUAUUGACCGUGCUUGGUGUAAAAGGCUGUUUUUAAAACUAAAUCUGCAUCCAUUUCAUACUGGUGGACAUCCUUGGCCAGGCCUAUAUUUGUAAAGUACUUGCAUCUGCCUAGUUUUCCUAAAAUUUCGUCAAUGUUUGGGAUUGGGUGUCUGUCUGUGAUGAAAUGUCAACUUAUCACCCUCGUGGUCCUAUAUGUCAUUGAUUUUCUUUUUUAUUUAGAUGUUCCAAUCUGUAUAGGUGAGAUCCUAAUAUGGGUGAAUUAUUUCUUGGUUGUCUGAGCAUAGUGUCAGGUGCCAUGCCUACAUCUUGAAAGUAACUCAAUUCUUGUGCUGCUUUGCCCUCAAUUUAUUUGUAUUUGUUUUUGUAAAGAGUCACCAGAUGAUCGUGGUAGCUUAUUGUUGUUUCCCUCUCCCAACAAAUUUCUUCUUGGUUUUCGUAGAAUGGGUGCAAUUAAAAUUCCGUUGGUGUUGGGAACAUAAUCUUUGAAGGUAUGGUUAUACUUUUAUUGACAAUAAGCGGUCCAUUUCUGGUAUGGUAUUCUGAAUUGGUAGGUCAAAAAUCUUUUGGUAUAUUAAGUUAACUGUGAGUUUUAUAUCAAUAAGACAUUUUCAAUUAUUUUCUUUGUAUUUAGUUGUUAUAUAUUGGGUUUUUUCAAAGCUGGUGAAAGCAAGGCACGUGAGCUAGACGGCUGUACUAAUCCUUUAGUGUGGCUAAUCAAUUAUGGGGUCCGUGACAUCUGAGCAAAUGCAACCUCCAGAAACAAUCCAGCCUAACCGAGUCUCUUGCAUUAUCGCCAAUCCUGGCAGACGCUUGACUUGACCGAAGCACAGCAGUUCGUAAAAGAGACUGGCGCCAAUCAAUAAAUCUAUGCGUUGAGGACUAUGAAAAUCUGGGUCCGAAAGCUUAAGAUUUUAGGGGUAUAUUCAAGGUGCAAAUAUCAAUGUUAAAGUAGGGCUUACUCUGCUCAGUCCGUCUCAAACCUAGAAUUGCCUAUUCCGGUAACACGAGCUGAUGAUUUUGCAAUCUUAAGUGAUGAUUUGUGAUCCAGAGUCAAAGAUCCAUGGCAACGAAAAACAAUGAUUCCUGAAGGAAUUCUUAAAACUCUUGCAGUAAUGAAUUGAGUGCCCAGACGCUUUGAAAAGGUCGCAGGGUUGUGACUUGUGGCAAGAAGGGCGGACCUACCACGUAUGCCACGUUGGAAUUAAAUUCUUUAAGACCGACACCUCCCAUUCCGCCUGAUUUGUCGAAUCCAGCUUUUGAAGAAGUACUUGCAUUCAGCGAUCUGUUCCACUGAGCCCAUUCCACGAAGAGCGCGAGUAUGAGCGUUAAAUUUAUCGGACAGUUCACUAAGCAUUGAAAUUGAACCACUCUGCACUACCCUUAGCCACAGAAUUUUUAUAAUGUGUGCCAGAAAAACCAAGCGACGAUUAGAAAAUCUGUUUUGUAAUAAAUCGAAUGCUAAAGCAUAGUUGCCAUCCGA